CAUUAUCGAUAAUAAUAUACAUGCCCUAUACCAGUCAUGUAUUUAGCAAUUUAUAUUGCAUACACAUAUUCACAUUGUUAGAUUGUAUUCACAAUACAAAAGGACCCAUGACUUCCAGCGGAGACAUUUACAAUAAAAGGGAUUACUAUCGAAUGCCAGACACAUACCCAGGAGAUGCACUACGGGGACUCCUCGAUCUAGGGUC
rnacentral:lncRNA from 1 species